GAGAUUAUUGUUUGAGUUCCCAGUAUUUAACGGCUGGGUUCGCAGUGGGGCAACUGAAUUCAGCAGCAGUGUUGUUCUGGCCAGUUAUUCGGUGGGAAUGUCGACCUGAGCAACAACACCGUGAAAAAGCCAGAGGGCCUGUAGAAGCAGCCGGAAUCAACGGAGCACAGACAAUUCAGAUUCUUCAUCCAGGGACUGCUGCCGCACUGAAGCCAAGACUCACUAACAGCCACUGCUAGGAAGGUGACAACACCUCACGAUAAACUCUUGACAAUCAUAUAACUCUGCUGGCAGUCGGCUUAGGAGAUCAGAGAAAUGGAAUAGGAACUUUCGUGGUAUCCCUUGUAGGAGAAAAGAUUAAAGUGUAGCACAGAACAGAGCUCCUUUUGUGGCAAGGCCAAAGAACGUCAAUGCAACAACCAAACACCAUAUGCCAGGAAACCUGAACAUUCUGUUAGGCACAAACCCCGUUGGAGGACAAAUUCACCUCAAAUAUGGAUGUCAGAAGAAGAAAACGACAUGAGACAAGUGUUAUUUUAUGCCCUGAACACACCACUUUACAUGGUGGCUUUUAGCACUCUGUUUACAGAAAGCUAAACUUUCAUGUCUUAGAAAGGAAAUAGCUACAGGAGCCAAUUAAAGGACCAAACUGCUUUCUUAAAAUGUACCAGAACCUUAACAAAGUCCGCUAAAAUAUGACUUUCAGGAGGACAUGAGCAAUUGUUAUUUGAAAUCCAACAACACCACCAAAACUUUCUAGCCCUGUUUUGAUGUUCCUCCUCUAUUAGGAAGCUUAUAAUUAGUUUAUGAUACAUUUAUAAAGAAUCAAGAAGUAAUCAAUGAAGAAAUUAGUGACAUUUUAGUGAAUAAUUAGUGAAUAAUUAAUAAAUAAAUGAAUGAAGACAUAAUCUUCAUUAAUUAUAAAUGGCAUGAUAUGAUUGAUAGCCACACUAUCAAUCCCAAAGCCAUUUAGGUAGAAAUCUCCUCUGCUUGAAACAAUAGGAACUACAAAAGAAUAUUCAAGCUCUCUUCAAGGUAUUGAAAGAUUGUGCAUCUAUUGCAGGCCACUGCUCUGGUGUCCUAACUUUCAUUUUAUAAAGACUUGCAGUAUUCUGACUUACAGAACAAAAUAAUAGCUUUGAAUUGUAACAGUAGGUUAUGCAAAUAACAUAUAACCUUGACUGAUCAGAAAAUCUUGUAAUAUCCUAGAAUAAUGGACAAGUCUGAAAAGAACUUUUGCUUAGUUUUCUUUAUCUUUCUUUAUCCAUUACAAGGUAGUGGAUGACUGACCGCAGCCAUGAUUUUAGAAGAUAAUAUCUUCUUUAAGAGCAACUUCUAUGGGUAGAAGAGACAGUCAUGGCUUUGGCCAUGCAGAUUCUUAAAGAGAAACAACAGUUUCUAAGCAAUAGUAGAUGCUGAGAAUAACUGGUCUGAAUUAAACUUGUGUUAAGCAGACAAUUUGAAAGAAACAGUUGUUUGUGGCAUUGGAGAAAUAGGAGGUCUUAUCGUCGAGAGAGGCAAUCAUAUGGUUAUCUCCAACAAAACCAAAGAGACAUCCAGGUAAUUACUGGCCACUAAAAACCGAGAGGAUGAGUGGAACUGUUAUAGUAUAUCCUGUGUAAUAAAACCAAUGUCUGCAAUCAAUAUGCACAUUACAGUGCCUAGUAGAACUUUCUUCUGAAGACUGACUGUCCUAUUUAAGUGGGUCUCCACUGAGGGCAAAAGAGACUGAGAAGUCAUAGUUGUAAUAGUUGUUUUCUGAAAAGUAUUAUUUUCAUCAGUAACUGGAUGUUUCAGUAUAAAAUCAAAAGAUACUGGAUUUAUACUAUCAAUGUUAACUCUACUGCUAACAUCUUCUGCGUGCUACAGACACUGACAUUUUCUUCCAAAUCUUCUGAAUUAUAUUAUUAAGUACUUACUUUUCUACUUCCAUUGCAGACUUAAAGCAGUGCUUAUGCAUCUGGAAGAUAGACUAAUUUGGUCCAAAUUAUUAUUUUGUUUGACUUAAAAAAACCCUCUUCUUUUUCCUGUGAGUUUUGCCUUAUUAGAAGAGUUGUUAUGUCCACAGAGGAUUUGGUCCAAAGCCCAGUGAAGUUAAAGGACGCUGUUUUAAAUCAAAGUAAUGAUUGAGAUCUGGAUCAAGCUUGCAGUGAGGUAAAUUAAAUCCAGUGUUUUUGCAAAAAAAAUGUAAUUGCUUGCUAGAUUCCUAUCAGGAGACAAGCUGAAUUUGCCUUUGUAGUCUGUUUUACCAUCUUAGAUACGUCUAUUUAUCAAUGUGUAUUUAAACUUCCUGCAAUUAUACUCAUUUUAGCCAAUAACAGUGUAACUUAUUUGCUUUCUUUUGCUGUUUUCAUAUGCCACUCCUGACUCUAAGCUCUUUCAUAGUUUAAAAUUCAUAGCUAAACUUAUAAACCCUCUUGUAACCACUUAUUCAAUUAUCCUGAUAUUAGAGUGCCUAUUAAGAGCAAUAAAACUAAUACUGCAGACCUUGAGACUCCA